rnacentral:rRNA from 1 species
UGGGGAAUAUUGCACAAUGGGCGCAAGCCUGAUGCAGCCAUGCCGCGUGUGUGAAGAAGGCCUUCGGGUUGUAAAGCACUUUCAGCGAGGAGGAAGGGUAGUGUGUUAAUAGCACAUUGCAUUGACGUUACUCGCAGAAGAAGCACCGGCUAACUCCGUGCCAGCAGCCGCGGUAAUACGGAGGGUGCAAGCGUUAAUCGGAAUUACUGGGCGUAAAGCGCACGCAGGCGGUUUGUUAAGUCAGAUGUGAAAUCCCCGCGCUUAACGUGGGAACUGCAUUUGAAACUGGCAAGCUAGAGUCUUGUAGAGGGGGGUAGAAUUCCAGGUGUAGCGGUGAAAUGCGUAGAGAUCUGGAGGAAUACCGGUGGCGAAGGCGGCGCCCUGGACAAAGACUGACGCUCAGGUGCGAAAGCGUGGGGAGCAAACA